UACAGAGGGUGCAAGCGUUAAUCAGAAUGACUGGGCGUAAAGGGCGUGUAGGUGGUUGACUAGGUUUGAUGUGAAAUCCCCGGGCUUAACCUGGGAAUGGCGUCGAAAACGGGUUGACUAGAGUAAGAGAGAGGGUUGUGGAAUUUCCGGUGUAGCGGUGAAAUGCGUAGAUAUCGGAAAGAACAUCAGUGGCGAAGGCGACAACCUGGCUCUUAACUGACACUGAGGCGCGAAGGCGUGGGGAGCAAACAGG
rnacentral:rRNA from 1 species